rnacentral:piRNA from 1 species
UGAGAUAGCCUGAUCACACUUGCUCACUCA